UAUUAAUUGGUGUUUUGCCUGCAUGU
rnacentral:piRNA from 2 species